rnacentral:rRNA from 1 species
CAGUAGCCGCGAUAAUACAGAGGGUGCGAGCGUUAAUCGGAUUUACUGGGCGUAAAGCGUGCGUAGGCGGCUUCUUAAGUCGGAUGUGAAAUCCCUGAGCUUAACUUAGGAAUUGCAUUCGAUACUGGGAAGCUAGAGUAUGGGAGAGGAUGGUAGAAUUCCAGGUGUAGCGGUGAAAUGCGUAGAGAUCUGGAGGAAUACCGAUGGCGAAGGCAGCCAUCUGGCCUAAUACUGACGCUGAGGUACGAAAGCAUGGGGAGCAAACAGGAUUAGAUACCCCAGUAGUCCCUGUCUCUUAUAC